GACGAACGCUGGCGGCGUGCCUAAUACAUGCAAGUAGAACGCAGUUGCGAACGGGUGUGUAACGCGUAGGUAACUGCCUGGUAGCGGGGGAUAACUAUUGGAAACGAUAGCUAAUACCGCAUACUACCAGAUGGACCUGCGUUGUAUUAGCUAGUUGGUGAGGUAACGGCUCACCAAGGCAACGAUACAUAGCCGACCUUGGAGGGUGAUCGGCCACACUGGGACUGGUACACGGCCCAGAAUCCUACGGGAGGCAGCAGUAGGGAAUCUUCGGCAAUGGGGGGAACCCUGACCAAGCAGCGCCGCGAGAGUGAAGAAGGUUUUCGGAUAGUAAAGCUCUGUUAUUAAGGAAGCGGUACUUAACCAAAAAGGGACGGCUAACUCCGUGCCAGCAGCCGCGGUAGUAC
rnacentral:rRNA from 1 species